UUAAAGCUUUGAGUGACUCAGACAUGAGAGCUUUAAACUACAGCAUAAAAACACACCUUUGUAGUUUCUAUUUACAAGCAGAACCUGUUUCCCAGACCUACGGCUGUUCUCCCCACCUUAUUCGUCUAAUGAAGUGUUACCAAGUACCUUCUUACUGUUGUAUGUCUCCGUAUCCUGUGGGAAUGGAACUCCGUGCACACUCGUGUCAAGUCCUCCACGUAUUAUAAAGCCUCCGUGUGGGACUAAAAUCAAACAUGGUUUCUGUUUCUGCUGAAAAUAAAUCAAGGACGAAAAGGAAAGAUGAAGACCGAGAGCUGUACAGAGGCUGGGAGAGCACUGGUGCACACAAUGGACCGAAUGAUGAUAAUGCAUUUCAUGUCUGGCAGAAAUCUAAACGGCAAGAGAAAUGCAGAUAUUUGGAUGAAAGGAACAUUGUGUUAUCACCUCAUUUAACAGUUAAGUGCUGGUUCUCUGGCUUGGAGGGGAAUGAUGUGGCAGAAAAAUCAUGCCCAAAAUGUGACACAUCUCAAGAUAAUGCUCCCUCUAAUAAAUCUCCUGUGGCUCUCCCAGCAAGGCCCAGUGAUGUGAGCCAAAGCACUUCAGACAUGGAAUGUUUCCCAAUAAACUCCAUGUCUACUCACUCAAUGACCCAUAAACAAAAUAUCAUUUAUAGCCCCAGUCCAAGCAUCCUGGAGCUAAAACAGAGCCAGCCGUUAGUACGAUGGGCUCCUGCCACUCGUGAGCAGACAUCUGAGGAAUUGUUGCCCUGGCGAUGUAAAGACUUUGCCCCAAUGAACCGUGAAGCAAAACCUGCUGAACCUUUGCAUCCCUGCAAAUGGCCAGCUGCCCAGAGACUGGAAUGGUGCCACGAGAGCCUAGCCAGACUGGCACAUCUGGGGGUGCAGUCACCCAAAAAUGCACUACCUGCUGACAGACGCAGGCCAGUGAUCCAGAGGCCAAUUUUGGGUCAUAAAGGAGUACAGGUGCAUAGCCAACAUGGGGAGAAAAGCUUCUGCUGGACAUCAUCCAAAGGCUUGUUCAAUGAAGAUGGCACAAAGCCAGCUACAAUAGUAGACCCAUGUAACCAAGCCCUGUAUAACCGUUUGUGGAGUGCAGUGCAAGCAGAAGGAUGUGCCAAGGAACUGGAGCAACAAGACGGUGGCUAUAAGUUUCACGUGAACAAUAUGAGCUGGUUGUCGGACAUGCUGUGUCCAUCAGGAUGCCAUGGGAACAGCACGUCCUCCUCCAUUUCACAUGAGAUCACUUUAUUCCACAUUCUCCAAGCACUACAGAGCAAACCAGUAAAUUUCCCACAGGUCAGAGGACAGAGACGCCUCAAGACACUUCCGAGUCUGAAUGUCUGAAGCCAUCAUGAGAAGAAUGUAAUAUUUUUCUACACUCACAGCAAGUCACUCUGGCAAACAGCAGCCAAGCAAGGUUGUGACAGGAGUCUGAGCUCAAGGAAUAUUUUUGGUCAACAGCCAAGCAGAACAGGGUACGUCACUGUCCUAUGCCCUCCCUCAUAUGCUAUACAUCUACGUACAAAGAAAAACAUCACUGAUAAGCAUCUCUGGAACCUUGAAAGAACAGAAAAGUAGGUCAUUAGUAUUUUUAAUGGUCAAAGUAUCAUUCUCAUUCUACACAAUCCACCCCAUGCAUUUCAACAACAACAAAAGCUCCAAACCAAACAGAUACAAAUAAAAUCAAUCAACACAGCAAUCUGGGAUUAAAACAGUGAGUUGUUUGCUUGCAUAUGUUCUUCCUGUAACUAUUGUAAAUUUUGUUUAAAAAGGUCCAUACUUAUGGUGUGAUUAGGAUGGAGCUGGGGGUUCAUUAGUAAGACUGCAGCAUGUGGUUUAAUUGAUAGUGGAUUUCUUGGGCUAAAUCAGUACACAGAUCAUCCGUGGAAGACGGCUGUGUUUGGGGAGUUAAAUUCAGACUAAGCUGUCUGGAGAAAAUGGAUAAUUUUAAAUGUAUUCUCUCAACUUGGCCUUGGCAGGGUGAAUCAUAGAUUCCAGUAAAGUUACAGUAGAAACAAAGAUGUAUUACCAGAUUUGCCUAUUAAGAGAGAGUAAAAUUUCUCAAGACACAUGGCAGGAAAAAUAUUUAAAUAUGGCUUGUGGACAAUCAACCCCAUUAGCUGACCAGACCUCUGACUCAAAUGAUGCUCUCAAAAGAAUUGGACUAAUCCAUUCAGGAUUGCAGCCACACUAAUGUAAAAGGAAAGCGAUGUUAUAAUCCAAAUUCAAGGCAGACGAUUAAUGCCAGUCUGUCUGCUUCAAAUUAAGGGAGGACAGUGAAAAGCAAUCUGUACAGGACAGGAUGAAUCAGCUAGCAGGGCCAAACACUCUGGAUACAGACCGAUUAUAAGCAGGUCAUUGGUUUAUUCAUGCUAAAUGCAUGUGAUCGGGUUUAAACAGGGAUUUAAUAACACUGAGGCGUAUUCCAGAGGCUUGGCACAGGCUGCUCACACAGUUGCUCCUACGUGUAUUAUUGCCUUGUGCGCUGCAGGUGGCUGAAGUGGCUUUUUUUGCCUGCGAUCCAAUCAAAGAAGCUCACGAGGCGCGUUUUCAGAGAGUGGGGCGUCAACGCCUUUUCUUCAGCUCUUAGCUCGGCCAUCUGAGGGACGGCCACAUGUGCAACAUACACAAACACACACAGACGCCCAGCAAAUGAGGUGGCCGUUAUUGAGAGAUUAUUUUAAACAUCUUGAUUCUUCGAUGUUUAACAUUCAAA